AGGACGAACGCUGGCGGCGUGCUUAACACAUGCAAGUCGAGCGGAAAGGCCCUUCGGGGUACUCGAGCGGCGAACGGGUGAGUAACACGUGGGCAACCUGCCCCUAGCUCUGGGAUAACUCCGGGAAACCGGUGCUAAUACCGGAUAUUUACCUCAUUUGGCAUCCUUUGAGGUGGAAAGAUUUAUCGGCUAGGGAUGGGCCCGCGGCCUAUCAGCUUGUUGGUGGGGUAAUGGCCUACCAAGGCGACGACGGGUA
rnacentral:rRNA from 1 species